UUUUUUUGAUAAACUUCAAAUGUUGACUACUUUAUUUGGGGCCUGAUUUACUAAACAGGGCAGAUUAGCACGAGAGCAUGAGCCCAUAAAAGUGUAAAUUUCUGAACGUGAUUUACAGACAAAUGAAAGAUCACAGACACAUCAUUUCCAUAAUGACCAACACAAUCCACCAAGACAGAUCAAACUAGCGUCUGGUUGAAGAUGUGCUUUUUUAUGGGAGGUGAAUAAUGCCAGUAAAGUGAUGAGCGCAAACCUUAGUAAAUCACCUUGCAUGAUUCAUAUAAAUUCUGUCCUCCCAUAAAUGUUGUGUUUGAAAGGGAAACUCCAGCAAAUGCAUAUGCAAUAAUAUCAGCCGCAAAAAAUAACCCUGCCUUUUCAGCUAAGCGCUCAUUUUUUUUACUGCAUGUCUUUACUAAAUCCUUAAAUCCCUAAAAACGGUAGUUUUUAACACUAAAUAAAAAGAGGGUUUGCGCUGGAGCUGUUAGUAGAUCUGGCCCUAUCUAUUAUGAUUUGCUUAUAUUUAUUGAACUGUCUAACCCUGAAAUGAAAAUGCUGGCAUCAAAGUAGAUUUGUGAAAAAUUUCUAUUUUUGGAACGAAAAAGAAAUUUGGAAAGACAUGAGA